rnacentral:lncRNA from 1 species
UAUUGGUCUGGCUUUCAAAAAGCAAAAACCUAGCCUGCAGAUGUUAGAUUUGAUUCAUUGUUUCUGUGGGAAUUUACAUUUUACUAUUUUUCAAAUUCUAUUUGGAUGCAGAUUUGCCGUAGUAAGGGAAAAUGCUACAUUUCUAUUUAGCUGUACUUUAACUAACGUUGGCAUCUUGCCAUGUUCUCCUUCCUUUUCUUUACUAAUUUUUUUUUUUUAAGAAAUAGCACAAACACUUCCUUGAACUUGAGGCUGACCUGGACUGUACUGAGUGCUCUUUCAAAGGCCAACUGAAAGGCAGCGUUUCUCAUGUAAGAGAAUCUCUCCAUCAGAGUUCAGAGGGAACCAGAAGGAACCAUAGAGUGAACUCAAUCCAAUUCCUACUGAUUUUGCAUAUGAAGCAAUAGACCUUCAAUAGCU